rnacentral:lncRNA from 10 species
AGAUGUUGCGCCGGUUGUUGUCCAGCGUGCGGCUGGAGAAGUAGCGGUCGAAGCCUGGCAGGGAACCAGGACGUCAGGGCCUCACUGGCCUUCUUCCCCACCAGCCCCAGCCCUCCCCGCCUCCCCCAGGAUAAGAGAUGGUCCAGGCGGAGGGAGAGAGACCAGGAGGAGCACAUCCUCUGAUCCAGGAGAAAACAAAAUGUGGAGCAUUUCGUUUCUUUCAAAAUGAAAAGAGCUGUAUUAGGUCCCAGGGGGAUCGUGUGUAAUCUACAACUGCUGCCUUUAUGGAAGAGAAGCACACCGAUGAGGAUGUUUCCACGGCCUUUAACCGCUGCAAUGCUAACAGCGGGCUUUGAGAAGGAGCCGCCUGGGAGUCCUGAGAUUACAGCACAGAGGCUGGUGGGGCUGCCCAACCCGGGGAGCACCUGAAGAGGAGACCAGGCCAGACAAGGAGGGAGGGAACCACCCAGAUCACACAGCAAGACCAGGACCUGGACCUUCUUCCUUCACAUCCAGGACGUCCCCAUCACUGACAGAGGCUGCCUGCCUCCUCCACAUGCUCUGCGUGGCUCACACUUCUGCUCUCAGCCUUGGAAAGCCUGUCCUAGGGUGGGCAGGCUGGCGGUGAACAACACCCCCUCCUCCUCCCAGACGCCCCCCUGCCAUACUGACUGUUCUAGGCACUGUGGACUGAGCUGCUCUGUAUGGGCCAGAGGCCUGAAAGCUCAGCGGGGCCACGUGGAGCUUCCUGCCCAUGGAAGCGUCCAAGUGGAAGCAAAAUGACCGGCCACGUGGCAGGAGACGCACUGGCAUCGAGCAGGAGGUUUGGCCUGCAGUAGGAUUUCUCAGCCUCGGCACUGUGGACGCUCUGGGCGGGAUAAUUCCUGUGGGGGGCCAUCCUGUGCACCGUACGAUACUGAGCAGUACCCCGACCUCUACCCACUGGAGGCCAGCAGCAGCAUCCCCCAACUGUGACAACCAAAAAUGGCUCCAGAAAUUGCCAAAUAUCCCCUUGGGGGGCAAAAUCGCCCCCAGAUAAGGACCAUUGUUCUAAAAGUUUCUCUAAUGUUCCUGAGAGAAAAAGUACUUGUCAGGCAAGUCCUGGAUUCUGGUCCCAACUCUGCCACUCGCUGUACUGUGUGUGUCUCAAGCUCUCUGAGCCCUGUGUAUCCAUCUACUAAAUGCGGGGAAGAGUGCAUCACAGGGAUGCUGGGGAGGCUAAAGGAGAUGUCUGUAAGGGGCCUGGCACUGGACUCCUGUCCCUGGGCCCCAUGCCCAUCACCAGGCCCUUGGUAGG